UACGAAGGGGGCUAGCGUUGUUCGGAAUUACUGGGCGUAAAGCGCACGUAGGCGGAUAUUUAAGUCAGGGGUGAAAUCCCGGGGCUCAACCCCGGAACUGCCUUUGAUACUGGGGAUCUCGAGUCCGGGAGAGGUGAGUGGAACUGCGAGUGUAGAGGUGAAAUUCGUAGAUAUCGAGAGGAACACCGGUGGCGAAGGCGGCCUUCUGGACAGGUACUGACGCUGAGGCACGAAAGCGUGGGGAGCAAACGGG
rnacentral:rRNA from 1 species